rnacentral:rRNA from 1 species
AUGGCGGAGGCUAUACUGCUCGCUGUGUCAAAGAUUGGGGCAAUCGUUUUGAAUGAAGCUGUCUUGGCUGUCAUCAACAAGCUGUCGAGGAAGGUUGACAACCUAAAGGAAUUGCCGGCAAAGAUAAAAAGAAUCGAUAUAGAGCUGAAGACGAUGAAUGAUGUAAUUCAAGACUUGGGCACAACACAUCUCAGCAACAAUGUCGUCAAGGGUUGGAUUGGAAAUGUGAGGAGGCUGGCCUACCAUGUUGAGGAUGUGAUUGACAAGUACUCAUAUGAGGCUCUGAAGCUCAAGGAUGAAGGCUUCCUAAAUCGGUAUGCCUUCAGAAGUUCACGCCAUAUUAAGGUCUUCAGUAAAAUUGCUGAGGAAGUUAUAGAGAUAGAGGGGGAGAUCAGGCACAUCAAAGAACUGCAUAUUUAUUGGAGUACUAUAGUCCAACCCAUUAGAAAUGAGCAUGCAGAGAUUGAUAGGCAGCGAUGGGGAGGCUGCUUUCCAGAAAGUGUUAGUGAUGAGGACCUUGUCGGAAUUGGUGAAAACAGGAGCAAGUUGACCGAAUGGCUGACCACCGAUGAGAAAGAAACCACAGUGAUUACUGUUUCUGGUAUGGGAGGCUUGGGGAAGACAACCCUUGUGAAAAAUGUGUAUGAUCGGGAGAAAGCCAACUUCCCUGAGGCUCAUGCUUGGAUUGUGGUGUCACGGGCGUAUGUUGUAGUUGAUUUGCUGAAGGCAUUGCUCACCAAGAUACAGUACACACAAGAGUCGCCGCCGCCAUCACCUCUUAGUGCGGGCUCUAAAGCUGAUGUUUAUGAGUUAACAGAGGCUAUAAAGAAGAUACUACAAAACAAGAAGUGUUUGAUCGUGCUUGAUGAUGUGUGGGAUAAAGAAGCAUAUACUCAGAUGUGCAGUGCGUUCCAGGGUCUCCAAGGAUGCCGUGUUAUGAUCACAACACGGAAGGAAGAUGUUGCGGCUCUUGCUCCAGUGAGGCACCGCCUACUAUUGCAGCCAUUGGGUAGCGUUGAAUCUUUCAAGCUAUUCUGCUCUAGGGCUUUCCACAACAGCCUGGGCCGCAAGUGCCCUUCAGAGCUCGAGGAGGUGGCGGCUGCUAUAGUUGACCGGUGUCGUGGCCUGCCAUUGGCCAUUGUAUCGUCUGGCAGCCUAUUGUCCACAAAGCAACCAACAGAGCACGCCUGGAAUCAGGUGUACAACCAUCUCCGGAGCGAGCUGCGGGGGAAUAACCAUGUCCAGGCUAUACUUAAUCUGAGCUACCAUGACUUGCCUGGUGAUCUCAGGAACUGCUUCCUGUACUGUAGCUUGUUCCGUGAAGACUAUGAAAUGUCACGGGAGAACCUUGUGCGGUUGUGGGUUGCUGAAGGUUUUGCAAAGAAGAAAGAUAACAGCACGCCGGAGGAAGUGGCUGAGAGGAGUCUCAUGGAACUCAUCGGCCGGAAUAUGCUGGAAGUUGUGGAGAGGGAUGAGCUCUUCAGGGUUAGUACAUGUAAGAUGCAUGACAUUGUUCGAGACCUGGCUCUUGCUGUUGCUAAAGAGGAGAGGUUUGGCUCCGCGAGUGAUCAGGGCGAAAUGACGCUCAUGGAUAAAGAAGUUCGCCGGUUCUCAACAUGCGGUUGGAGAGACAGUAUGGCAGCUGCUCCAGGAGUGGAUUUUCCACGACUCAGAACCGUCAUCUCGCUUUCAGCAGCUUUGUCCUCCACCAACAUGAUUUCCUCUGUUUUGUCUGGAUCCAACUACCUUACCGUUCUCGAGCUUCAAGACUCUGCAAUCUGCCAUGUGCCGGCAUCCAUCGGGAAUCUGUUCAAUCUCCGCUACAUCGGCUUGAGGCGCACCAAAGUUCAGUCACUGCCAGACACUAUUGAAAAACUGUCAAACCUCGAGACGCUGGACGUCAAGCAAACAAAAAUAGAAAAACUACCGCCAGGAAUUGUGAAGGUUGAGAAGUUACGACACCUUUUAGCUGACAGGUUUGCCGAUGAGAAGCAGAUGAAGUUCCAGUACUUUGUCGGAGUCGAGGCGCCGAAUAUGAUUUCCAACUUCCAGGAACUGCAAACUCUUGAGACCGUCCAUGCCAGCAAGGACUUGUCACUUCAGCUGAAGAAAAUGAAUAAGCUGCAGACUGUUUGGGUUGAUAACAUCAAUGCAUCUAACUGUGAUGACCUUUUCAAAACCCUCUCAGAUAUGCCUCUGCUUUCCAGCUUACUUCUCUGUGCAUGUGAUGAGAAGGAGACACUUACGUUCCAAGCACUCAAGCCAAUUUCCAAGAGGCUCCACAGACUGAUCAUUAGAGGUGGCUGGGCCGAUGGGACCCUCAAGUGUCCAAUAUUUCAGGGUCAUGGGAAGAAUAUCAAGUAUCUGGCUCUGAGUUGGUGCAAUCUUGGGAAUGAAGACCCGCUGCAGCUGCUGGCAUCUCAUCUGCCAGCUCUCACUUAUCUCAGCCUUAACAGGGUGAGUAGUGCAGGUACAUUGGUGCUCUCUGCAGGGUGCUUCUGUCAGUUGAAGACGCUUGUCUUGAGGCGCAUGCCUAAUGUCAAGCAACUGGAGAUUGAGGAGGGUGCCAUUCCGUGCGUUGAUGGUAUCUACAUCGUGUCGCUCUCAGAGCUCGGUAUGGUCCCUCGUGGCAUCGAGUCGCUUGGGUCCCUGAAGAAGCUCUGGAUGCUAGACCUGCACAAGGACUUCAAGGCUGACUGGGAUUUGAACCAGAUGCACGACAAGAUGAAGCAUGUUCCAGGGCUCCGUGCCUAG